rnacentral:rRNA from 1 species
UACGUAGGGGGCAAGCGUUGUCCGGAUUUAUUGGGCGUAAAGAGCGUGUAGGCGGCCUUACAGAUCAGCUGUGAAAACUCGAGGCUCAACCUCGAGACGUCGGUUGAAACCGUAAGGCUAGAGUCCGGAAGAGGAGAGUGGAAUUCCCGGUGUAGCGGUGAAAUGCGCAGAUAUCGGGAAGAACACCCGUGGCGAAGGCGGCUAUCUGGGACGGUACUGACGCUGAGACGCGAAAGCGUGGGGAGCGAACAGG